GACGUAGGGUGCGAGCGUUGUCCGGAUUUAUUGGGCGUAAAGAGCUCGUAGGCGGCUCGUCGCGUCGUCCGUGAAAACCCGCGGCUUAACCGCGGGCUUGCGGUUGAUACGGGCGGGCUAGAGUUCGGUAGGGGAGACUGGAAUUCCUGGUGUAGCGGUGAAAUGCGCAGAUAUCAGGAGGAACACCGGUGGCGAAGGCGGCAUCCUGGACCAACACUGGCGCUGAGUGAGCGAAAGCCAGGGGAGCAAACGGG
rnacentral:rRNA from 1 species